CAACACGCAGCCUGGCACGCCAGUCCUGUCCAGUCCGCUGUGCUGCGCUGGUAGGAAAAACUCCUUGAAGAGCAGGAUACCAGCAGUGAUGACUGGACAGGUGAUGCACCAGAUCUCCCCAAUGCUCCUUUGCAGCACAGGAGUUUCCCAAUCAUUUUUUCACCAUUUCUGCACCAAAACUUCUCCUUUCUGACCCAGCUGCAGGGAUGGAGGAACCAGACUCUGCUGGACACGAUGACAAGGGUGGAAUGAAGUCUCUGAGCAAACACAAAAUACCACAAGACAAAAGUGCUGUGUAGGAAACAAGUAUGGCUGCACAAAGAUGUUAUCGCAUCUGAAAAUCAUGUCCUUGUAGAUUACAGAGAUAUUAAAGACUGCCUGAAAAUCCUAGUUUCUACAGCAAUUUUGAAAUUACUUUUUUACAUCUUCAUGAAAAACAAAAUCUCUGUGAGAUUCAUUUUCUUAUAUGACUUCAUCCAUCCCCUCAAGGACUGCAGAG